GCUGACCGCUAGCGGCAGGCUUAAUCCAUGCAAGUCGUGGGGCAGCAUGAUGUAGCAAUACAUUGAUGGCGACCGGCAAACGGGUGCGGAACACGUACACAACCUUCCUUUUAGUGGGGACUAGCCCAGAGAAAUUUGGAUUAAUACUCCAUAAUAUAUAGAAAUGGCAUCAUCUUAAUAUUAAAGCUUCGGCGCUAGAAGAUGGGUGUGCGGCUGAUUAGGUAGGAGGCGGGGUAACGGCCCACCAAGCCUGCGAUCAGCAGCUGAUGUGAGAGCAUGAUCAGCCACGCGGGCACUGCGACACGGGCCCGACUCCUACGGGAGGGAGCAGUAAGGAAGAUUGGGCAAGGGACGCAAGUCUGAUCCAGCCAUGCCGCGUGAAGGAUUAAGGUCCUCUGGAUUGUAAACUUCUUUUAUUGGGGACGAAAAAAGAUCAUUCUUGAUCACUUGACGGUACCAGAUGAAUAAGCACCGGCUAACUCCGUGCCAGCAGCCGCGGUAAGAC
rnacentral:rRNA from 1 species